AAUGAACGUUGGCGGCGUGGAUUAGGCAUGCAAGUCGAGCGAGAACCCCGCAAGGGGGGACAGCGGCGCAAGGGACAGUAAUGUGUAGAUCAUCUGCCCUCAGGUCCGGGAUAGCUGCGGGAAACUGCAGGUAAUACCGGAUAACAUCUCCGGAUCAAAGGUGUGAUUCCGCCUGAGGAUGAGUCUGCAUCCUAUUAGCUAGUUGGCAGGGUAACGGCCUACCAAGGCAUUGAUGGGUAGCGGGUGUGAGAGCACGACCCGCGUCAUUGGGACUGAGGCACUGCCCAGACACCUACGGGUGGCUGCAGUCGAGAAUCUUCGGCAAUGGGCGCAAGCCUGACCGAGCGACGCCGCGUGUGGGAUGAAGGCCUUCGGGUUGUAAACCACUGUCAGAGGGGAUGAAAUGCAGGUGGGUUCUCCAAUCUGUUUGACAUAGCCUCAGAGGAAGGACGGGCUAAGUUCGUGCCAGCCGCCGCGGUAA
rnacentral:rRNA from 1 species